rnacentral:rRNA from 1 species
AUUGAACGCUGGCGGCAGGCUUAACACAUGCAAGUCGAGCGGGGGAAGGUAGCUUGUCACCGGACCUAGCGGCGGACGGGUGAGUAAUGCUUAGGAAUCUGCCUAUUAGUGGGGGACAACAUCUCGAAAGGGAUGCUAAUACCGCAUACGUCCUACGGGAGAAAGCAGGGGAUCUUCGGACCUUGCGCUAAUAGAUGAGCCUAGGUCGGAUUAGCUAGUUGGUGGGGUAAAGGCCUACCAAGGCGACGAUCUGUAGCGGGUCUGAGAGGAUGAUCCGCCACACUGGGACUGAGACACGGCCCAGACUCCUACGGGAGGCAGCAGUGGGGAAUAUUGGACAAUGGGGGGAACCCUGAUCCAGCCAUGCCGCGUGUGUGAAGAAGGCCUUAUGGUUGUAAAGCACUUCAAGCGAGGCGGAGGCUACUCUAGUUAAUACCUAGGGAUAGUGGACGUUACUCGCAGAAUAAGCACCGGCUAACUCUGUGCCAGCAGCCGCGGUAA